AAGCGAUUUCCUAGUACCGCAGCUAACGCGUGAAGUGAUCCGCCUGGGGAGUACGGUCGCAAGAUUAAAACUCAAAGGAAUUGACGGGGACCCGCACAAGCGGUGGAUGAUGUGGAUUAAUUCGAUGCAACGCGAAAAACCUUACCUACCCUUGACAUGUACGGAAGCCCGGUGAGAGCCGGGUGUGCCCGAAAGGGAGCCGUAACACAGGUGCUGCAUGGCUGUCGUCAGCUCGUGUCGUGAGAUGUUGGGUUAAGUCCCGCAACGAGCGCAACCCUUGUCUCCAGUUGCUACGCAAGGGCACUCUGGAGAGACUGCCGGUGACAAACCGGAGGAAGGUGGGGAUGACGUCAAGUCCUCAUGGCCCUUAUGGGUAGGGCCUCACACGUCAUACAAUGGCCGGUACAGAGGGUUGCCAAGGCGCGAGCUGGAGCCAAUCCCAGAAAGCCGGUCGUAGUCCGGAUUGCAGUCUGCAACUCGACUGCAUGAAGUCGGAAUCGCUAGUAAUCGCGGAUCAGCAUGUCGCGGUGAAUACGUUCCCGGGUCUUGUACACACCGCCCGUC
rnacentral:rRNA from 1 species